GCAAGUCGAGGGGUAACGAUGUCUUCGGACAGGCGACGACCGGCGCACGGGUGCGUAACGCGUAUGCAACCUACCUUUAACUGGAGGAUAGCCCCGAGAAAUCGGGAUUAAUACUCCAUAGUAUUUUUCAGUGGCAUCACUGAAGACUUAAAGCUCCGGCGGUUAAAGAUGGGCAUGCGUGACAUUAGUUUGUUGGUGAGGUAACGGCUCACCAAGACUACGAUGUCUAGGGGUUCUGAGAGGAUGAUCCCCCACACUGGUACUGAGACACGGACCAGACUCCUACGGGAGGCAGCAGUGAGGAAUAUUGGUCAAUGGACGCAAGUCUGAACCAGCCAUGCCGCGUGCAGGAUGACAGCCCUAUGGGUUGUAAACUGCUUUUAUUAAGGAAUAAACCCUCCGACGUGUCGGAGGCUGAACGUACUUAAAGAAUAAGCAUCGGCUAACUCCGUGCCAGCAGCCGCGGUAAUACGGAGGAUGCAAGCGUUAUCCGGAUUCAUUGGGUUUAAAGGGUUCGCAGGCGGCGCAUUAAGUCAGUGGUGAAAUCUCUCGGCUCAACCGAGAAACUGCCAUUGAUACUGGUGUGCUAGAGUAUAGUUGGCGUAGGCGGAAUGUAUCAUGUAGCGGUGAAAUGCUUAGAUAUGAUACAGAACACCGAUCGCGAAGGCAGCUUACGAAACUAUAACUGACGCUCAGGAACGAAAGCGUGGGGAGCGAACAGGAUUAGAUACCCUGGUAGUCCACGCUGUAAACGAUGAUUACUCGUUGUCGGCGAUACACAGUCGGUGGCUAACGAAAGCGAUAAGUAAUCCACCUGGGGAGUACGAUCGCAAGGUUGAAACUCAAAGGAAUUGACGGGGGCCCGCACAAGCGGAGGAGCAUGUGGUUUAAUUCGAUGAUACGCGAGGAACCUUACCUGGGCUUAAAUGUAGAUUGCAUGAAGGGGAAACCUUUCUUUUCUUCGGAACUAUUUACAAGGUGCUGCAUGGUUGUCGUCAGCUCGUGCCGUGAGGUGUCGGGUUAAGUCCCAUAACGAGCGCAACCCCUACCUUUAGUUGCCAUCAGGUAAUGCUGGGGACUCUAAAGGAACUGCCUACGCAAGUAGUGAGGAAGGUGGGGAUGACGUCAAAUCAGCACGGCCCUUACGUCCAGGGCUACACACGUGCUACAAUGGUCGGUACAGAGAGCAGCUAACCCGCGAG
rnacentral:rRNA from 1 species